UGGGGAAUAUUGGGCAAUGGGCGAAAGCCUGACCCAGCGACGCCGCGUGGGUGAUGAAGGCCUUCGGGUUGUAAAGCCCUUUCGUGCGGAAAGAACAGCCCUGUAGUUAAUACCUGCAGGGUUUGACGGUACCGCGGGAAGAAGCACCGGCUAACUCCGUGCCGGCAGCCGCGGUAAUACGGAGGGUGCAAGCGUUGUUCGGAAUUAUUGGGCGUAAAGGGCGCGUAGGUGGUUGUGAUAGUCAGAUGUGAAAUCCUUUGGCUUAACUGAAGAACUGCAUCUGAAACGUGACAACUCGAGUACAGGAGAGGGAAACGGAAUUCCCGGUGUGGAGGUGAAAUUCGUAGAUAUCGGGAGGAACACCAGUGGCGAAGGCGGUUUCCUGGCCUGAUACUGACACUGAGGCGCGAAAGCGUGGGGAGCAAACAG
rnacentral:rRNA from 1 species